rnacentral:rRNA from 1 species
UACGGGGGGGCAAGCGUUGUUCGGAAUUACUGGGCGUAAAGGGCUCGUAGGCGGCCAACUAAGUCAGACGUGAAAUCCCUCGGCUUAACCGAGGAAUUGCGCCCUAAACUACUGUGCUUGAGGAACCUAGAGGUGAGCAGAACAGAUGGUGGAGCGGUGAAAUGCGUUGAUAUCAUCUGGAAUACCGGAGGCGAAGGCGGCUCACUGGGGGUUUUCUGACGCUGAGGAACGAAAGCCAGGGUAGCGAACGGG